UCUUCUCCCAGUGCUUUAUCUUGUGAUCUUCCUGGACCAUGAGCGGAGGUGUGAACCUGAAGACGAUGUCUCAGAGCGGCUCUGGUAUUCCUCUGCCGCGGAGCCUGACCAGUCUCUCCAAGCAGGACACCAAGAGCUUGAGCGGCUCUUUACUGGGUCCUGCUGCCCAAAACCAGCUUGCUGUGCGAACUUCCUCGGUUUCUUCCUCAACCUCAUCCAUAUCUUCUCUAUCGGUCUCAAAGGAGUUACUCAAAGGGACCGGAUCGAGAACUCAGUCUUCACAGAGAGCUCAAGGGACAUCUGGUGGCACAAACAGGCCGUUGUUUGCUCCCCGUUCGGCCCACAGCAGCCCGCAUGUGCCCAAACGAGAGAUGAUUCCAUUCAAAAACAACCUCCGGAGGGGCUCGUUGCCCCAGGAUGGGUUCAGAGACAUGGAGAGACACUCCAACAAGAACUGGAGAUCUGGCCAUCAUCACUUCAGGAGUCUAGACAAUGAGGUUGUUGAAUCUUCUAGAGAGCAACAGACGGGUCAAGCCCUUCGCAAGCCAACUAACGGGAACGUCAUUUGGGAAACGUCAACUGGUGUUCAAAGGGACUUUCAGAAGCAGCGGAUGACAAUGCUGGCUCGUGGUGACAGUUACAGAGGAACAAUUGCAUCUAAAUCCCAGGUGAACUUCUCAAAUGCGUGUCCUGCAGGAAGGGAGUCUCCACGCAUGGCGGCAGUGGCCCCUUUCAGAUUCAGGCUGCAGGUUGGAGAGGAAACUGAAGCUUCUCUUGAGGAUCUGAGCGAUUGUUCCUCAGACUCUAUGGAAGUGUGCUGUGAGGAUUUAGGUGAGUCUCUCUUAAAAAUACUCCAGUAUCCAUGACCGCAGGUUUUUUUUUUUUUCCUGGAAUGGCCUUAGCCUUUCUCAUACAGGACUGCAGAUGGUAGUGAGAAUAGGUCUGAGAGACUGUGGUUAAUAUCUGAUAUCUUUUGUGUGAGGGAUGCUAUGAUUCAGAUCGAUCAAACUGUAAGCAGAUGCUGGUGUGGUCAGUUACAAUUGGUAUCCAUGUGAGGAGAUUUAUGUCUUUGCUGAUGUAUGCUUCUGCGUCUGAAGCUCUUUUCAGAUUCUUGAUGGACUCAGUCAGACCACAUGUAGAGCUCAAAUAUUAGUAAAAUACUGUCAGCUCAUGUUGCCAGACUGCAUGCAAACGAACAGAGACCAAUCCACUGAUUUGGGAUUGUAUUCAGUACUUUGACAAAGUAGUACAAUGGUGUUUUUGUAGAAGAUUGUUUUCAAAAAAUGUCUUUAAGAUGUUACAUGUCUUGAUAAUGUGUGGAAAGGUUUGUAAAAUUAGCUGUUGUGACAGUUGUUUAUCCAUCAACGCUCUGCAUACUAAACUGUGGUUUUUGUUGCUUUUAGGCAUAUACAUUAUUUUCCAUGAAACUGCAAUGUGUGCAUAUUAUAGAAAAUAUCUAAUAUAACAUCUGAUAUUUUAAUGAUAUAAUUUUAAAAAGAUCAGAACUCCUUUGGGAAUCUCAUAUUUCACCCCCCAAAAGGAUAUUUUUUCAUUUAGCUUUUAGUUUUUGCGUCAAGAAAAUUACAUCUAAUAAAAAAGAAAUAAAUAAAUAAAGUUUUUCUUUU
ensembl:lncRNA